AUCUUGUAGUGCAAUGGAUAGCUAGUUGGACUUCUAAUCCAAAGGUCGUGGGUUCGAAUCUCACGUGGGAUG